UUCAAUUUGCAUUUUUGUUUUGUUUUGUUUUUUUAAAUUAUUUUUUUUAAAGCCAUUUUCUGUGAAUACAUAGCUUACAUUUAUUUGUACAAACUUGUGUUCAUUCUAUCAGUUAACAAUUUAUUGAUACUUCAGGUUAAACAAUGCUGCAGGACUGUGAAUAGCCACUAAUAAGUGCAGUCUCAUCAACAGAUUUGAUUAGUGAAGUAUGAUUUAAAAAAAAAAAUAUUAGUUAAAGUUCCAAAGUACAAUAAUAGGCUAUAGCUAAAGUAUUUCAAUGAUUUUUUGUUCUCCAUUCCUAAAUAACCCAGUCUAUAAUUUGAUAGUUGUUAGUGAUUUUCUUAGUACAACUUUUGUUUUGUUUGACAAGCUUUUAUUUUCUAAGAACACAUUCUACUUUCCCUUCAGUCACACUGUUGCAACUUAUUUGAUUUUCUUUGUAAUGAUAAUAUAUUAUACAUACUUAUAUUUCUAUAUAUACAAAGGACCACAUUUACCUCCGCUAUUUGUUGUUUAUAUAUUACUAGUGAUUGUGAAGGCUCAUGUAUUUUGUGCAUUUUAAGAUUUAGUCCUUCAAAGUGGGAGCACUGCCAUAAUACCAGAAAGAUAAAUGUCUGAAAGGAAUGCUACUUAAGCCAUUAUCACAGUGGAGACCAUGACAGUGCUGCCACCUUUAUUUUCUUUGUUGAUUAUAUUUUAUCCAGCAUAGCAUUUUGAAUUCAUUGGGGGUUUUUUUCACGGUUUUAUGAUGUAUUCGCCCCCCCCCCC